rnacentral:rRNA from 1 species
CUCACUAGUCGAGAGGUCCUGCGCCGAAAAUGUCCGGGGCUAAAACACAACACCGAAGCUUAGGAAUUGUCGUAAGACAAUUGGUAGAGGAGCAUUCUUAACGCGUCGAAGCAGUACCGUAAGGAGCUGUGGAGUGUUAAGAAGAGAGAAUGCCGGAAUGAGUAGCGAGAUGGAGGUGGGAAUCCUCCAGGCCGAAUAUCUAAGGUUUCCAGAGUAAAGCUGAUCUGCUCUGGGUAAGUCGGGGCCUAAGGCGAGGUCGAAAGACGUAGUCGAUGGACAACAGGUGGAAAUUCCUGUACCGCGUAUCAUCAGAACUGUGGGGACACAGAACCAAAGUCAAACCCGGGAAUGAAAAGACCGGGGCAAGCAUCUGACUGGUUAAGCAGGCAAAUCCGCUUAACAACAGGACGGUGUGACGCGUACCGAAAUUACAGUAGGGAAGUUGGCGGAGGGGCUGUCAAGAAAAGCCGCUAUUGUGUGAUAUGUGCCCGUACCGUAAACCGA